rnacentral:tRNA from 1 species
GUGGGUGUAGCUCAGUGGUAGAGUGCUUACCUAGCAGGCAUGAGGCCCUGGGUUCCAUCCCUAGCAGCACA